ACGCUGGCGGCGUGCCUAAUACAUGCAAGUCGAACGCUUCUUUUCCCACCGGAGCUUGCUCCACCGGGAAAAGAGGAGUGGCGAACGGGUGAGUAACACGUGGGUAACCUGCCCAUCAGAAGGGGAUAACACUUGGAAACAGGUGCUAAUACCGUAUAACAAUCGAAACCGCAUGGUUUCGUUUUGAAAGGCGCUUUACGGUGCCGCUGAUGGAUGGACCCGCGGUGCAUUAGCUAGUUGGUGAGGUAACGGCUCACCAAGGCCACGAUGCAUAGCCGACCUGAGAGGGUGAUCGGCCACAUUGGGACUGAGACACGGCCCAAACUCAUACGGGAGGCAGCAGUAGGGAAUCUUCGGCAAUGGACGAAAGUCUGACCGAGCAACGCCGCGUGAGUGAAGAAGGUUUUCGGAUCGUAAAACUCUGUUGUUAGAGAAGAACAAGGGUGAGAGUAACUGUUCACCCCUUGACGGUAUCUAACCAGAAAGCCACGGCUAACUACGUGCCAGCAGCCGCGGUAAUACGUAGGUGGCAAGCGUUGUCCGGAUUUAUUGGGCGUAAAGCGAGCGCAGGCGGUUUCUUAAGUCUGAUGUGAAAGCCCCCGGCUCAACCGGGGAGGGUCAUUGGAAACUGGGAGACUUGAGUGCAGAAGAGGAGAGUGGAAUUCCAUGUGUAGCGGUGAAAUGCGUAGAUAUAUGGAGGAACACCAGUGGCGAAGGCGGCUCUCUGGUCUGUAACUGACGCUGAGGCUCGAAAGCGUGGGGAGCAAACAGGAUUAGAUACCCUGGUAGUCCACGCCGUAAACGAUGAGUGCUAAGUGUUGGAGGGUUUCCGCCCUUCAGUGCUGCAGCUAACGCAUUAAGCACUCCGCCUGGGGAGUACGACCGCAAGGUUGAAACUCAAAGGAAUUGACGGGGGCCCGCACAAGCGGUGGAGCAUGUGGUUUAAUUCGAAGCAACGCGAAGAACCUUACCAGGUCUUGACAUCCUUUGACCACUCUAGAGAUAGAGCUUCCCCUUCGGGGGCAAAGUGACAGGUGGUGCAUGGUUGUCGUCAGCUCGUGUCGUGAGAUGUUGGGUUAAGUCCCGCAACGAGCGCAACCCUUAUUGUUAGUUGCCAUCAUUUAGUUGGGCACUCUAGCAAGACUGCCGGUGACAAACCGGAGGAAGGUGGGGAUGACGUCAAAUCAUCAUGCCCCUUAUGACCUGGGCUACACACGUGCUACAAUGGGAAGUACAACGAGUCGCGAAGUCGCGAGGCUAAGCUAAUCUCUUAAAGCUUCUCUCAGUUCGGAUUGUAGGCUGCAACUCGCCUACAUGAAGCCGGAAUCGCUAGUAAUCGCGGAUCAGCACGCCGCGGUGAAUACGUUCCCGGGCCUUGUACACACCGCCCGUCACACCACGAGAGUUUGUAACACCCGAAGUCGGUGAGGUAACCUUUUUGGAGCCAGCCGCCUAAGGUGGGAUAGAUGAUUGGG
rnacentral:rRNA from 1 species